GCCCAGUGCUCUAUUAAACGGCCGCGGUAUCCUAACCGUGCAAAGGUAGCAUAAUCACUUGUCCCCUAAAUAGGGACUAGAAUGAACGGUUAUAUGAGGACUAAACUGUCUCUUACAUUCAACCAAUAAACCUGAUCUUUCAGUCCAAAAGCUGAAAUGAUUCCAUAAGACGAGAAGACCCUGUGGAGCUUCCAAACCAAGCUCACCCCUACCACUAUGAUACCUUGGUUUUUAGUUGGGGCGACUUUGGAGUAAAAAAAACCCUCCACUCACGGAAUUAAACUUCUAGAUAUACACAUCAACAACCCCUCCCGACCCAGUAGUUUAUUUUACCAAACUAUCUGACCAAUGAACCAAGUUACCCCAGGGAUAACAGCGCCAUCCUCUUCUAGAGUCCCUAUCGACAAGAGGGUUUACGACCUCGAUGUUGGAUCAGGACACCCCUAUAGUGCAGCCGCUAUAAAAGGUUCGUUUGUUCAACGAUUAAAGUCCUACGUGAU
rnacentral:rRNA from 1 species